rnacentral:rRNA from 1 species
UGGGGAAUAUUGCACAAUGGGCGGAAGCCUGAUGCAGCGACGCCGCGUGAGGGAUGACGGCCUUCGGGUUGUAAACCUCUUUCAGCAGGGACGAAGCGCAAGUGACGGUACCUGCAGAAGAAGCGCCGGCCAACUACGUGCCAGCAGCCGCGGUAAGACGUAGGGCGCGAGCGUUGUCCGGAUUUAUUGGGCGUAAAGAGCUCGUAGGCGGCUUGUCGCGUCGAAUGUGAAAACUCGGGGCUCAACUCCGAGCUUGCAUUCGAUACGGGCAGGCUAGAGUUCGGUAGGGGAGACUGGAAUUCCUGGUGUAGCGGUGAAAUGCGCAGAUAUCAGGAGGAACACCGGUGGCGAAGGACGGGUCGUCUGGGCCGAUACUGACGCUGAGGAGCGAAAGCGUGGGGAGCGAACAGGAUUAGAUACCCUGGUAGUCCACGCUGUAAACGUUGGGCGCUAGGUGUGGGACCUCUCCGGGUUCUGCGCCGC